AGUGAACGCUGGCGGUAGGCCUAACACAUGCAAGUCGAACGGCAGCACAGUAAGAGCUUGCUCUUACGGGUGGCGAGUGGCGGACGGGUGAGGAAUACAUCGGAAUCUACUUUUUCGUGGGGGAUAACGUAGGGAAACUUCCGCUAAUACCGCAUACGACCUACGGGUGCAAGCAGGGGAUCUUCGGACCUUGCGCGAUUGAAUGAGCCGAUGUCGGAUUAGCUAGUUGGCGGGGUAAAGGCCCACCAAGGCGACGAUCCGUAGCUGGUCUGAGAGGAUGAUCAGCCACACUGGAACGGAGACACGGUCCAGACUCCUACGGGAGGCAGCAGUGGGGAAUAUUGGACAAUGGGCGCAAGCCUGAUCCAGCCAUACCGCGUGUGUGAAGAAGGCCUUCGGGUUGUAAAGCCCUUUUGUUGGGAAAGAAAAGCAGCAGGUUAAUACCCCGCUGUUCUGACGGUACCCAAAGAAUAAGCACCGGCUAACUUCGUG
rnacentral:rRNA from 1 species